rnacentral:misc_RNA from 1 species
UAUAUAUUGUAAAAGCCUAAAAAAAAAAAGAAAUCCAGUCAUUUGAAUCCCUAUAAUUACUUACAGAUCCUUUUUACUAGCGGUGGAUUUCUUAUCAUCUGGAACACAUGACGACCAGUAAAUUGGCAAAAGUGUGCACACUGCCUGCAUUAGAAGGGCACGGGGAAACCCAGAAAAAUCAUCUCCUGUGACCCCAACAUAAGAGGCAAGUGCAACACCAAAGUAUCCACUCACUAUCAAUGCAAGUGCUAU